AGAUGUGGCAACCUCCUGCAAGCGCAACGGCUUCCUCCAGCCUCAACAAGCCCCCAACAUCUAGUCCAGCUUCCAAGUUACAUCAGACAGAUGUUAUGCCGGCAUCCUCCUCCAGAUCAAGAACUCCUGCAGUGAAGGAGCACCCCGAGACCGAGACUGUCGGAGACGAUGUGUGCGAGGAGAGCGAGUCCUUACCAUCAAAAACGAUCCGGGGUGUCGCCGUGACGCAGGGUGGUCUCUUCAUCCAGGGCCUCAAAGAGGGGACAGAAUACACCUCCCUGCUACAAUGGAGGGGACCCACAGGGGCUGUUGCUAUCUGUGUGUGUGUGUGUGCGUGCGUGCGGGUGUGUGUGUGGUGUGUGGUGGGGGUGCAGCUUUAAGCAGGCCUUUGAGUGGCCUAAUUGCAUUGGAAUACAGCAGUCUGAGAGCUGGCUCAGAUCACGGCGGGCUGCUGGAGGGGUUAGCGCCCGCACCUCGACAGCCACACUCAGCAAAAGAGCCCCGGCACAAAGCGCACAAUUAAUGCUCUCCCUCUCGUUAACUCGCUCCCCACUUUUUGUCCUCUCUACUUUUCCUCCUCCCUCCUUCUCACCCUCAUAUCUUAGUCUCUC